AGCAAACAAGUACCGUGAGGGAAAGUUGAAAAGAACUUUGAAGAGAGAGUUAAAUAGCACGUGAAAUCGCUUAGAGGUAAACGAGUAGAGCCGAAGGUUGGUGUAUGGAAUUCAGCUAUUGAGGUGUUGCCSUCUGUGGUGUAUAUCUGCAAAGUUUAUGCCAUGGGAAGGUGGCAUUUUGGUGGUGCACUUUCUGUAUACCAAAUAUGCGACUGGUAUGAGAUUCUUCUGUCGUAGAGAUGAAGUUAUCCUUUUCUUCGGAUUAGGUCAUAUAGCUUUCUACAUGGUUGGAUUUUGCACCAGUGACAGUGAUCAAUCAACGUUGGCGUGAUGGGCAUGUUGGUGGCAUUUAUGUAAGCUCAUUAGAGAUUAUGUGGGUGUUAUUGAUGUGUUUGUUGCCUAACAGAUUGGUGAAAAGUCAGCAUUGUAUAUGUAGGCAGUCUACUUGUCCCGUCUUGAAACACGGACCAAGGAGUUUUUUAUACUUGCAAGUCAAAGGGUCCUACGAAACCCCACGGCGUAAUGAAAGUGAAAGUCUUCGGACUUAAGAUGCGACCUCCGUGAUAACCUCAUAGAGUGCAGCAUCGCCAUGUUCAAAGGUGUUCGCAUCUGAGCAUAGGUUGAGCAAGUAUGAAGAGACCCGAAAGAUGGUGAACUUUGGUUGUGCAGGUUGAAGCCAGAGGAAACUCUGGUGGAGGACCGAAGCAGUUCUGACGUGCAAAUCGAUUGUCAGACAUGACCAAAGGGGCGAAAGACUAAUCGAACCAUCUAGUAGCUGGUUCCCUCCGAAGUUUCCCUCAGGAUAGCUGGCGCUGAUAUAAUAGUUAUAUCCGGUAAAGCGAAUGAUUAGAAGUAUCGGAAACGAAAUGUUGUCGACUUAUUCUCAAACUUUAAAUGGGUAUGAAGUACUGCUUACUUCAUUGAAGUAGUACGGCUAAUAACAGUGCUUAGUGGGCCAUUUUUGGUAAGCAGAACUGGCGAUGUGGGAUGAACCAAACAUCUAGUUAAGGUGCCUAAUUCAUGCUCAUGAGACACCACAAAAGGUGUUGGUUGAUAAAGACAGCAGGACGGUGGACAUGGAAGUCGUCAUCCGCUAAGGAGUGUGUAACAACUCACCUGCCGAAUCAACCAGCCCUGAAAAUGGAUGGCGCUGUAGCAUGGAACCUAUACUAGAUCGGCACGGUAAGCAAAUUGCGAGAACGCCGUGUCGUGUAGGAGGGCGCCGUGAUAGCACAGAAGCUACUGGCGUGAGCCGGGGUGGAGCUGUCACGGGUGCAGAUCUUGGUAGUAGUAGCAAUUAUUCAAGUGAGAUCCUUGAAG
rnacentral:rRNA from 1 species